rnacentral:rRNA from 1 species
UGUUGGCGAGGUAAUGGCUCACCAAGGCAAUGAUCGGUAGCCGGACUGAGAGGUUGGCCGGCCACACUGGAACUGAGACACGGUCCAGACUCCUACGGGAGGCAGCAGUGGGGAAUCUUCCGCAAUGGACGAAAGUCUGACGGAGCAACGCCGCGUGAGUGAAGAAGGUUUUCGGAUCGUAAAGCUCUGUUGUUUGAGACGAACGUGCAGUAUACGAAUAAUGUGCUGUAAUGACGGUAUCAAACUAGAAAGCCACGGCUAACUACGUGCCGGCAGCCGCGGUAAUACGUAGGUGGCAAGCGUUGUCCGGAAUUAUUGGGCGUAAAGGGAGCGCAGGUGGGAAUGUAAGUCAGUCUUAAAAGUGCGAGGCUCAACCUCGUGAUGGGACAGAAACUACAUUUCUUGAGUGCAGGAGAGGAAAGUGGAAUUCCUAGUGUAGCGGUGAAAUGCGUAGAUAUUAGGAGGAACACCAGUGGCGAAGGCGACUUUCUGGACUGUAACUGACACUGAGGCUCGAAAGCUAGGGGAGCGAACGGGAUUAGAUACCCCGGUAGUCCUAGCCGUAAACGAUGAAUACUAGGUGUAGGGGGGUAUCGACCCCUCCUGUGCCGGAGCUAACGCAAUAAGUAUUCCGCCUGGGGGAGUACGGCCGCAAGGUUGAA